rnacentral:rRNA from 1 species
AGUGAACGCUGGCGGCAGGCCUAAUACAUGCAAGUCGAACGGCAGCACGGCAGAGCUUGCUCUGUGGGUGGCGAGUGGCGGACGGGUGAGGAAUACAUGGGAAUCUGCCCAGUCGUGGGGGAUAACGUAGGGAAACUUACGCUAAAUACCGCAUGCGCCCUUCGGGGAAAGCCGGGGACCGUUCGGGCCUGGCGCGAUUGGAUGAGCCCAUGUCGGAUUAGCUAGUUGGCGGGGUAAUGGCCCACCAAGGCGACGAUCCGUAGCUGGUCUGAGAGAUGAUCAGCCACACUGGAACUGAGACACGGUCCAGACUCCUACGGGAGGCAGCAGUAGGGAAUAUUGGACAAUGGGCGC